rnacentral:rRNA from 1 species
UCCUAGCUUGCUAGGAGGCGUCGAGCGGCGGGCGGGUGAGUAAUGCAUAGGAAUCUGCCCGAUAGUGGGGGAUAACCUGGGGAAACCCAGGCUAAUACCGCAUACGUCCUACGGGAGAAAGCAGGGGAUCUUCGGACCUUGCGCUAUCGGAUGAGCCUAUGUCGGAUUAGCUAGUUGGUGAGGUAAUGGCUCACCAAGGCCGCGAUCCGUAGCUGGUCUGAGAGGAUGAUCAGCCACAUCGGGACUGAGACACGGCCCGAACUCCUACGGGAGGCAGCAGUGGGGAAUAUUGGACAAUGGGCGAAAGCCUGAUCCAGCCAUGCCGCGUGUGUGAAGAAGGCUUUCGGGUUGUAAAGCACUUUCAGUGAGGAAGAACGCCUUCGGGUUAAUACCCUGGAGGAAAGACAUCACUCACAGAAGAAGCACCGGCUAACUCCGUGCCAGCAGCCGCGGUAAUACGGAGGGUGCGAGCGUUAAUCGGAAUUACUGGGCGUAAAGAGCUCGUAGGUGGUUGGUCACGUCUGCUGUGGAAACGCAACGCUUAACGUUGCGCGUGCAGUGGGUACGGGCUGACUAGAGUGCAGUAGGGGAGUCUGGAAUUCCCGGUGUAGCGGUGAAAUGCGUAGAGAUCGGGAGGAAUACCAGUGGCGAAGGCGGCCUUCUGGACUGACACUGACGCUGAGUGCGAAAGCGUGGGUAGCAAACAGGAUUAGAUACCCUGGUAGUCCACGCCGUAAACGAUGUCGACUAGCCGUUGGG